UUAAGCGACUAAGCGUACACGGUGGAUGCCCUGGCAGUCAGAGGCGAUGAAGGACGUGCUAAUCUGCGAUAAGCGUCGGUAAGGUGAUAUGAACCGUUAUAACCGGCGAUUUCCGAAUGGGGAAACCCAGUGUGAUUCGUCACACUAUCAUUAACUGAAUCCAUAGGUUAAUGAGGCGAACCGGGGGAACUGAAACAUCUAAGUACCCCGAGGAAAAGAAAUCAACCGAGAUUCCCCCAGUAGCGGCGAGCGAACGGGGAGCAGCCCAGAGCCUGAAUCAGUGUGUGUGUUAGUGGAAGCGUCUGGAAAGGCGUGCGAUACAGGGUGACAGCCCCGUACACAAAAAUGCACAUAUUGUGAGCUCGAUGAGUAGGGCGGGACACGUGGUAUCCUGUCUGAAUAUGGGGGGACCAUCCUCCAAGGCUAAAUACUCCUGACUGACCGAUAGUGAACCAGUACCGUGAGGGAAAGGCGAAAAGAACCCCGGCGAGGGGAGUGAAAAAGAACCUGAAACCGUGUACGUACAAGCAGUGGGAGCACAGAGCAAUCUGUGUGACUGCGUACCUUUUGUAUAAUGGGUCAGCGACUUAUAUUCUGUAGCAAGGUUAACCGAAUAGGGGAGCCGAAGGGAAACCGAGUCUUAACUGGGCGUUAAGUUGCAGGGUAUAGACCCGAAACCCGGUGAUCUAGCCAUGGGCAGGUUGAAGGUUGGGUAACACUAACUGGAGGACCGAACCGACUAAUGUUGAAAAAUUAGCGGAUGACUUGUGGCUGGGGGUGAAAGGCCAAUCAAACCGGGAGAUAGCUGGUUCUCCCCGAAAGCUAUUUAGGUAGCGCCUCGUGAAUUCAUCUCCGGGGGUAGAGCACUGUUUCGGCAAGGGGGUCAUCCCGACUUACCAACCCGAUGCAAACUGCGAAUACCGGAGAAUGUUAUCACGGGAGACACACGGCGGGUGCUAACGUCCGUCGUGAAGAGGGAAACAACCCAGACCGCCAGCUAAGGUCCCAAAGUCAUGGUUAAGUGGGAAACGAUGUGGGAAGGCCCAGACAGCCAGGAUGUUGGCUUAGAAGCAGCCAUCAUUUAAAGAAAGCGUAAUAGCUCACUGGUCGAGUCGGCCUGCGCGGAAGAUGUAACGGGGCUAAACCAUGCACCGAAGCUGCGGCAGCGACGCUUAUGCGUUGUUGGGUAGGGGAGCGUUCUGUAAGCCUGUGAAGGUGUGCUGUGAGGCAUGCUGGAGGUAUCAGAAGUGCGAAUGCUGACAUAAGUAACGAUAAAGCGGGUGAAAAGCCCGCUCGCCGGAAGACCAAGGGUUCCUGUCCAACGUUAAUCGGGGCAGGGUGAGUCGACCCCUAAGGCGAGGCCGAAAGGCGUAGUCGAUGGGAAACAGGUUAAUAUUCCUGUACUUGGUGUUACUGCGAAGGGGGGACGGAGAAGGCUAUGUUGGCCGGGCGACGGUUGUCCCGGUUUAAGCGUGUAGGCUGGUUUUCCAGGCAAAUCCGGAAAAUCAAGGCUGAGGCGUGAUGACGAGGCACUACGGUGCUGAAGCAACAAAUGCCCUGCUUCCAGGAAAAGCCUCUAAGCAUCAGGUAACAUCAAAUCGUACCCCAAACCGACACAGGUGGUCAGGUAGAGAAUACCAAGGCGCUUGAGAGAACUCGGGUGAAGGAACUAGGCAAAAUGGUGCCGUAACUUCGGGAGAAGGCACGCUGAUAUGUAGGUGAAGUCCCUCGCGGAUGGAGCUGAAAUCAGUCGAAGAUACCAGCUGGCUGCAACUGUUUAUUAAAAACACAGCACUGUGCAAACACGAAAGUGGACGUAUACGGUGUGACGCCUGCCCGGUGCCGGAAGGUUAAUUGAUGGGGUCAGCGCAAGCGAAGCUCUUGAUCGAAGCCCCGGUAAACGGCGGCCGUAACUAUAACGGUCCUAAGGUAGCGAAAUUCCUUGUCGGGUAAGUUCCGACCUGCACGAAUGGCGUAAUGAUGGCCAGGCUGUCUCCACCCGAGACUCAGUGAAAUUGAACUCGCUGUGAAGAUGCAGUGUACCCGCGGCAAGACGGAAAGACCCCGUGAACCUUUACUAUAGCUUGACACUGAACAUUGAGCCUUGAUGUGUAGGAUAGGUGGGAGGCUUUGAAGUGUGGACGCCAGUCUGCAUGGAGCCGACCUUGAAAUACCACCCUUUAAUGUUUGAUGUUCUAACGUUGACCCGUAAUCCGGGUUGCGGACAGUGUCUGGUGGGUAGUUUGACUGGGGCGGUCUCCUCCUAAAGAGUAACGGAGGAGCACGAAGGUUGGCUAAUCCUGGUCGGACAUCAGGAGGUUAGUGCAAUGGCAUAAGCCAGCUUGACUGCGAGCGUGACGGCGCGAGCAGGUGCGAAAGCAGGUCAUAGUGAUCCGGUGGUUCUGAAUGGAAGGGCCAUCGCUCAACGGAUAAAAGGUACUCCGGGGAUAACAGGCUGAUACCGCCCAAGAGUUCAUAUCGACGGCGGUGUUUGGCACCUCGAUGUCGGCUCAUCACAUCCUGGGGCUGAAGUAGGUCCCAAGGGUAUGGCUGUUCGCCAUUUAAAGUGGUACGCGAGCUGGGUUUAGAACGUCGUGAGACAGUUCGGUCCCUAUCUGCCGUGGGCGCUGGAGAACUGAGGGGGGCUGCUCCUAGUACGAGAGGACCGGAGUGGACGCAUCACUGGUGUUCGGGUUGUCAUGCCAAUGGCACUGCCCGGUAGCUAAAUGCGGAAGAGAUAAGUGCUGAAAGCAUCUAAGCACGAAACUUGCCCCGAGAUGAGUUCUCCCUGACUCCUUGAGAGUCCUGAAGGAACGUUGAAGACGACGACGUUGAUAGGCCGGGUGUGUAAGCGCAGCGAUGCGUUGAGCUAACCGGUACUAAUGAACCGUGAGGCUUAACCUU
rnacentral:rRNA from 1 species